GUUAAGCGACUAAGCGUACACGGUGGAUGCCCUGGCAGUCAGAGGCGAUGAAGGACGUGCUAAUCUGCGAUAAGCGUCGGUAAGGUGAUAUGAACCGUUAUAACCGGCGAUUUCCGAAUGGGGAAACCCAGUGUGAUUCGUCACACUAUCAUUAACUGAAUCCAUAGGUUAAUGAGGCGAACCGGGGGAACUGAAACAUCUAAGUACCCCGAGGAAAAGAAAUCAACCGAGAUUCCCCCAGUAGCGGCGAGCGAACGGGGAGCAGCCCAGAGCCUGAAUCAGUGUGUGUGUUAGUGGAAGCGUCUGGAAAGGCGCGCGAUACAGGGUGACAGCCCCGUACACAAAAAUGCACAUACUGUGAGCUCGAUGAGUAGGGCGGGACACGUGGUAUCCUGUCUGAAUAUGGGGGGACCAUCCUCCAAGGCUAAAUACUCCUGACUGACCGAUAGUGAACCAGUACCGUGAGGGAAAGGCGAAAAGAACCCCGGCGAGGGGAGUGAAAAAGAACCUGAAACCGUGUACGUACAAGCAGUGGGAGCACGCUUAGGCGUGUGACUGCGUACCUUUUGUAUAAUGGGUCAGCGACUUAUAUUCUGUAGCAAGGUUAACCGAAUAGGGGAGCCGAAGGGAAACCGAGUCUUAACUGGGCGUUAAGUUGCAGGGUAUAGACCCGAAACCCGGUGAUCUAGCCAUGGGCAGGUUGAAGGUUGGGUAACACUAACUGGAGGACCGAACCGACUAAUGUUGAAAAAUUAGCGGAUGACUUGUGGCUGGGGGUGAAAGGCCAAUCAAACCGGGAGAUAGCUGGUUCUCCCCGAAAGCUAUUUAGGUAGCGCCUCGUGAAUUCAUCUCCGGGGGUAGAGCACUGUUUCGGCAAGGGGGUCAUCCCGACUUACCAACCCGAUGCAAACUGCGAAUACCGGAGAAUGUUAUCACGGGAGACACACGGCGGGUGCUAACGUCCGUCGUGAAGAGGGAAACAACCCAGACCGCCAGCUAAGGUCCCAAAGUCAUGGUUAAGUGGGAAACGAUGUGGGAAGGCCCAGACAGCCAGGAUGUUGGCUUAGAAGCAGCCAUCAUUUAAAGAAAGCGUAAUAGCUCACUGGUCGAGUCGGCCUGCGCGGAAGAUGUAACGGGGCUAAACCAUGCACCGAAGCUGCGGCAGCGACGCUGAUGCGUUGUUGGGUAGGGGAGCGUUCUGUAAGCCUG
rnacentral:rRNA from 1 species